rnacentral:rRNA from 1 species
AAUACAGAGGGGGCAAGCGUUGUUCGGAAUUACUGGGCGUAAAGGGCGCGUAGGCGGCCUGCUAAGUCGAACGUGAAAUCCCUGGGCUCAACCCAGGAACUGCGUCCGAUACUGGUUGGCUUGAAUUCGGGAGAGGGAUGUGGAAUUCCAGGUGUAGCGGUGAAAUGCGUAGAUAUCUGGAGGAACACCGGUGGCGAAGGCGGCAUCCUGGACCGAUAUUGACGCUGAUGCGCGAAAGCCAGGGGAGCAAACGGGA